AGUGAACGCUGGCGGCGCGCUUAACACAUGCAAGCCGAACGAGAACGGAUUAUAGCUUGCUAUAAUUGUCAGCUAAGUGGCGCACGGGCGAGCACUGUAUAGGUAAUAUGCCUCUUACUAAGGGAUAACAAAUGGAAACGUUUGCUAAUACCUUAUACUCCUUAUUAACCUAAGUUAAUAAGGGAAAGCUUUAUUGGUAGAGAUUAGCCUGUAUUGUAGCAGUUAGUUGGUGGGGUAAUGGCUUACCAAGACUAUGACACAUAACUGGUUUGAGAGAAUGAUCAGUCACACUGGAACUGAGACAGCGUCCAGACUCCUACGGGAGGCAGCAGUGGGGAAUAUUGCACAAUGGACGAAAGUCUGAUGCAGCAACGCCGCGUGGAGGAUGACACAUUACGGUGCGUAAACACCUUUUAUAUGAGAAGAGAAUGACGGUAUUAUAUGAAUAAGCACCGGCUAACUCCGUGCCAGCCGCCGCAGUAAGAC
rnacentral:rRNA from 1 species